rnacentral:rRNA from 1 species
GACGAACGCUGGCGGCGUGCUUAACACAUGCAAGUCGAACGAAGUGGCGGACGGGUGAGUAACGCGUAAUCAACCUGCCCUUCAGAGGGGGACAAAAGUUGGAAACGACUGCUAAUACCGCAUACGGAAGGAGGGGAAUGCGUCUGAUUAGCUCGUGGGAGGGGUAACGGCCCACCAAGGUGAUGAUCAGUAGACGGUCGGAGAGGAUGAACGGCCACACUGGGAAUGAGACACGGCCCAGACUCCUACGGGAGGCAGCAGUGGGGAAUAUUCCGAAAUGGACGAAAGGCUGACGGAGCAACGCCGGGUGAGUGAUGACGGCCUUCGGGUUGUAAAGCUCUGUUAAUCGGGACGCGGUACCGGAAUAGAAAGCCACGGCUAACUACGUGCCAGCCGCCGCGGUAAUUC